CCCAUUGAGUUUCUCACCAUAGAAGUAAAAUGUGCAGCUCGCUCAUCCUGAAAACUUCCAGAUCCAAUAGAGGGAAGUACAGAGUUUACCAUUGAAUUCCCCAGAUAUGGCAUGCCAAGACUACAUGAUGAAUUCUUAUGGUACCCCUGAUUCAAAUUGCCAGACUUGACUAUUGCAGGCUCAUAUUGUUGGCUUUGUUGAGCAAGCAAUGCUUCAAGGUAU
rnacentral:misc_RNA from 1 species